rnacentral:tRNA from 1 species
GAGAGGUUGGCCGAGUGGUUCAAGGCGGUAGAUUUAAGCUCUACUUUCCGAAAGGAAGCGUGGGUUCGAACCCCACACCUCUCA